rnacentral:rRNA from 1 species
GAAAGUAAAGAAGGGCGCAUGGCGGAUGCUUGGCUCUCGGAGGCGAUGAAGGACGUGAUAAGCUGCGAUAAGCUUUGGGGAGGUGCAAAUGACCUUUGAUCCAGAGAUUUCCGAAUGGGACAACCCAAUAUCUUGAAGAGGUAUUAUCCAACGUGUUGGAGGCUAACGCAGGGAACUGAAACAUCUUAGUACCUGCAGGAAAAGAAAAUAAACAAUGAUUCCCCCAGUAGUGGCGAGCGAACGGGGAACAGCCCAAACCAUCCAUGUUACGGCAUGGGUGGGGUUGUAGGACUACGCCGUUGCAUGAAGACAUCAGAGAAGAACUUUCUGGAAAGAAAGACCAUAGAGCAUGACAGUUGCGUAUUCGAAUGUUGUCGAAGCAUAGUAGUAUCCUGAGUAGCGCGGAGCACGAGGAAUUCUGCGUGAAUCUGCCGGGACCAUCCGGUAAGGCUAAAUACUCCCGAGAGACCGAUAGCGAACCAGUACCGUGAGGGAAAGGUGAAAAGCACUUCGAACAGAAGAGUGAAAUAGUUCCUGAAACCGUGCGCCUACAAGCGGUCGGAGCUCGUUAAUGAGUGACGGCGUGCCUUUUGCAUAAUGAACCUACGAGUUGCCUUUGCCGGCAAGGUUAAGUGUGACGACACACGUAUCCGAAGCGAAAGCGAGUCUGAACAGGGCGUAUAGUCGGCAGUGGCAGACGCGAAACCAAGUGAUCUACCCUUGGCCAGGUUGAAGGCUGGGUAACACCAGCUGGAGGACCGCACCAAUAAGCGUUGAAAAGCUUCUGGAUGAGCUGAGGGUAGGGGUGAAAGGCUAAUCAAACUUGGAGAUAGCUCGUACUCCCCGAAAUGCAUUUAGGUGCAGCCUUGCGGGUUACUGAUGUGAGGUAGAGCGACUGAUAAGAUGCGAGGGCUUCACCGCCUAUCAAGUCUUGACAAACUCCGAAUGCGCAUCAGUUCUACCGCAGGAGUGAGGGCAUGGGUGCUAAGGUCCGUGCCCGAGAGGAGAAGAAUCCGGACCACCUGCUAAGGUCCCGAAAUGACAGCUAAGUUAAACUAACGAAGUCUGACUGCUAAGACAGCUAGGAUGUUGGCUUGGAAGCAGCCAUUCAUUUAAAGAGUGCGUAACAGCUCACUAGUCGAGGAGUCGGGCGUGGAUAAUAAUCGGGUAUUAAGUUGUCUACCGAAGCAGUGGGAUCAUUUAUAUGAUCGGUAGGGGAGCAUUCCAGUCAGCGUCGAAGGCGUACCGUGAGGUAUUCUGGAGCGUCUGGAAAAGCAAAUGUAGGUAUAAGUAACGAUAAAGGGGCGGGAAACCCCCUCGCCGAAAGACUAAGGUUUCCUGAUCAACGCUAAUCGGAUCAGGGUCAGUCGGGUCCUAAGGCUCAGCCGAACGGCGAUGCCGAUGGCAGAAACGGUUAAUAUUCCGUUACUACCUUCAGGAGUGACGUGGAGACGCAGUAGUGACAGUGCCGCCAUCUGACGGAAUAGAUGGUUGAAGGGUGUAGGAGUCGAUCAUGGCAGGCAAAUCCACCAUGAGAUCCGAACCUGAUAGUAUGCCGCGUCCUUCGGGACAAGGCAAUAGUGCGCGUAAGCAUGCUGCCGAGAAAAUCCGCUAAACUUAAUCCUGUAGGUACCCGUACCGCAAACGGACACACGUAGUCGGGAUGAAUAUUCUAAGGCGCUUGAGUGAUUCACGGUUAAGGAACUAGGCAAACUGACCCUGUAACUUCGGGAUAAAGGGUCCCUACCCUUUUAUGGGAGGGCGCAGAGAAUCGGUCCAGGCAACUGUUUAACAAAAACACAGGGCUGUGCCAAAUCGAAAGAUCCAGUAUACAGCCUGACACCUGCCCGGUGCUGGAAGGUUAAGAGGAGAUGUCAUCGAUAAGAGAAGCGUUGAAUUGAAGCCCCAGUAAACGGCGGCCGUAACUAUAACGGUCCUAAGGUAGCGAAAUUCCUUGUCGGGUAAGUUCCGACCUGCACGAAUGGUGUAAUGAUCUGGACGCUGUCUCAACCGUGAGCU